rnacentral:rRNA from 1 species
UACGAACUGUGCGAACGUUAUUCGGAAUCACUGGGCUUACAGGGUGCGUAGGCGGCUUGUCAAGUAGGGUGUGAAAGCCCCCGGCUCAACCGGGGAAUGGCGCCCUAAACUGGCGAGCUAGAGUGAGAUAGGGGUGUGUGGAACUUCCGGUGGAGCGGUGAAAUGUGUUGAUAUCGGAAGGAACGCCGGUGGCGAAAGCGACACACUGGAUCUUGUCUGACACUGAGGCACGAAAGCCAGGGGAGCGAACGGG